GACUCUCUUCCCUAUCACUCUUUCUCUGGUACUCUCUAGAACAUUCUCCCUCCCCCUCCACUCCGAUGAGCUUCACUCACCUUCUCUGGCCAUUUUCUUGCCUAAAUCCAUGGUAGUUUCACCACCUACCAACCUUCUAUGGCUCAUCCACGCUUGGUUACUGAAGUUUUAUGGUUUGAUCAUGAAAAGCUUGGUCCAAACCUUUGUUUGAUUCAAGUUCCGUGGCCAUCUCCGGCUUUGCUCUAGCAAGCCAUGUCUGUUCGAGCCUGGCCUCGACUCCUUUUACUUAGAUCUCGACUAUCCAAGCCUUUCUUAUUGUUUGGGUUCCUCUGAUACCUUAGCUUUGAGUUUCUGUGAUUUCUCUAGAUAUAUUCUUGAUCUAUGUUUUCCCUAAACCUGUAAAUGAUUUCUUGAGAUUUCUUUCAAAAGUGUGCUUUCAAAACCUAUAUUUUUUCCAAUCUAGGGUUUUUUGAUUUAUUUAGAUGUUUCUCUUUUUUGUUUUUCUCUUGUGUAUUUCUUCUACUAUGUUUCUUCUACUGUGUUCUUUGUGUGUUUCUUCUACUAUGUUUCUUCUACUAUGUUCUGGUUAAGUUUCUUCUACCAUGUUCUUAUCAGCUUCCUCUACUGUAUUUUUUUAUGUUAUCUACUAUGUUCUUAUUAAGUUUCUUCUACUAUGCUUCUUUGUAUGUUUCUCCUACUGUAUUUUUAUUAUUUUCUUCUACUAGUUUUCUUAUGAGUUUCUUCAACUAUGUUUCUUUACUGUGUGUCACAUGUUGUUCUUUUACUAUGCUUCUCAUGAGUUCCUGCUACUGAAAGAGCAUGUCAAAGGUCUCAGUUCCUUUCAAAAACCAUUGAACCUGUCUCAAUUAGUAUCUUUUUCUUGAUUACUUGUCCUCUCAUCUCUACACUCGAUUUACGCUAAAAAACCGUAGAAUUUGGGGUUUCAUCUGAGUUUUGAGACUAUUGGCUACAUGAUUUGCUUGAACUUGUUUAAUUCUAGAAACCCUAACUCCUUUAGACCUAUUUUUCGAGUCUCUGAACUGAGUCUUGAAAUCUCUAUUUCUUUAAACGAUUCUGAUUUCUACUGAACUCUUCUAUUGAAUGCUAGACCCUUUGUAUGCAAUUCGAUACUAUCUCUUAUCUACAUUACUGACCUAUGUGACUACCAUGAUCUUACAGUCUAUUACCUACUCAUUUUGCAAUGGCAUGACGUUUUUUAUUUGCCCUAAAUUCAGCCUACCAUAUUUAUGUGCACUUUAUAUGUGCUGAACACCCCUCUAAAAAUGGCUUUCCAUUUUAAUUGAUUCAAACUUCCUUUGUAUAAGUUUGAUUGAUUUCUUUCCUUGUUUGCUAACUUCCAUGUUACUCGAUUUUAGUCAAAAACUUUUCUUAGCUUUUCUUACUUGGUUCAUUCGUGGACCAAUAUUUAUAAAAUCUCUGACCCCUUGAUUUACUGUAUACUGGUUGAUCCUCACCUUAUUUGAUUUAACCGCGAAUUUCAAAAUUCCUCCCUUAAUUAAAACUCAUAUAUAUUUACCCCUAAUUGUCUACUCUGUAAAGAGAUGCUUAUUUGAUUUCUUUCCUUAAAUAAUUCUACUGUUUAAGUCUGAAUUUCUUAAUUAAAGGAAGUUCUGUAUUGAUUAAUUUUUUAAUUGAUAUCCAGUUCCUUAAUUUUUUUUCUCCUUAUUUCAUCCUGUUUUUCACACGAUAAAUACAUGACCCUUUCGCUAACAAAAUAGGGAUCACUGGUAGUCUUUCUAAUCUUACACUUACACUCAAUAGUAUUCUCUCUUAUUGCUUGUACUGUGGCAUGUUUACAAGACCUACUUGCUGCCUUUCUUUAUUUGCUUCUUUGAAACUAGUAUGUCCUGAUUUAAUCUUUUUUAGCACCACGACAAUGUGUUUAUUUACUGCCUUUGUAUUUCUGUCUGCUUACGGCUUCUGUGUGGUUCAACACUACUGAUUUCUUUCUGCCUCUUCUGUUAUGAAUCCCAAACCCAUGCCCCAUGUGUUCAUGCCAUGGUUUGAGGCAUGGCAAUAUGCAAAUUAUUAUCCAUGAAUUAAAUUUGAUCCCCUGGGAUCCUAGCCUCUAAUAAUAUGUGUUCCAGCAGGCUUAUGGGUAUGCUAGCACCCUCCAUUGCUGGGUAUACCUGAAGCUUGUCCUAGCCUAAGCAAUAGGCUCCUUACAAUCUCCAUAUUCCCCUAAACCCCCCUAUGUGUGCUUAGUAGUAGUUGUUUCCCUUUCCUUUUCUCCUUUAGCAUUCUAUUCUGCACUUGAACACUUUGUUAGUCUUUAAGUUCUAUCCCCCUCUUGUGAGCCUUGCCUUGAGACCUUUUGAGUUCCAUCUAAACUUGGACACUUGAAGGAUGGCCCUUCCACACUUCACUUGUCCUAAUCUAAUAAUGCAUUUGAGUGUGAAAAUUUCCUGGAGUCCCUUCGAGGCUAUUAGGGAACUUGGACAAACUCAAAUGGAAGAAAGGCUUUGGAUCAUGAUCUCAUGGUGUUGGUUUACCUCAUGUUUCAGACAUGAAGUCUGAAUCAGGCUUUCCUUUGGUUGUAC
rnacentral:lncRNA from 1 species